rnacentral:rRNA from 1 species
GAUGAACGCUGGCGGCGUGCCUAAUACAUGCAAGUCGAGCGAACGGACGAGAAGCUUGCUUCUCUGAUGUUAGCGGCGGACGGGUGAGUAACACGUGGAUAACCUACCUAUAAGACUGGGAUAACUUCGGGAAACCGGAGCUAAUACCGGAUGAUAUUUUGAACCGCAUGGUUCAAAAGUGAAAGACGGUCUUGCUGUCACUGAUAGAUGGAUCCGCGCUGCAUUAGCUAGUUGGUAAGGUAACGGCUUACCAAGGCAACGAUGCAUAGCCGACCUGAGAGGGUGAUCGGCCACACUGGAACUGAGACACGGUCCCGACUCCAACGGGAGGCAGCAGUAGGGAAGCUGCCGCAAUGGGCGAAAGCCUGACGGAGCAACGCCGCGUGAGUUAUGAAGGUCUUCGGAUCGUAAAACUCUGUUAUUAGGGAAGAACAUAUUUGUAAGUAACUGUGCACAUCUUGACGGUACCUAAUCAGAAAGCCACGGCUAACUACGUG